rnacentral:rRNA from 1 species
UUAAGCGACUAAGCGUACACGGUGGAUGCCCUGGCAGUCAGAGGCGAUGAAGGACGUGCUAAUCUGCGAAAAGCGUCGGUAAGGUGAUAUGAACCGUUAUAACCGGCGAUGUCCGAAUGGGGAAACCCAGUGCAAUUCGUUGCACUAUCGUUAACUGAAUACAUAGGUUAACGAGGCGAACCGGGGGAACUGAAACAUCUAAGUACCCCGAGGAAAAGAAAUCAACCGAGAUUCCCCCAGUAGCGGCGAGCGAACGGGGAGCAGCCCAGAGUCUGAAUCAGCUUGUGUGUUAGUGGAACGGUCUGGAAAGUCCGACGGUACAGGGUGAUAGUCCCGUACACCAAAAUGCACAGGCUGUGAACUCGAAGAGUAGGGCGGGACACGUGGUAUCCUGUCUGAAUAUGGGGGGACCAUCCUCCAAGGCUAAAUACUCCUGACUGACCGAUAGUGAACCAGUACCGUGAGGGAAAGGCGAAAAGAACCCCGGCGAGGGGAGUGAAAAAGAACCUGAAACCGUGUACGUACAAGCAGUGGGAGCACCUUCGGGUGUGACUGCGUACCUUUUGUAUAAUGGGUCAGCGACUUAUAUUCUGUAGCAAGGUUAACCGUAUAGGGGAGCCGCAGGGAAACCGAGUCUUAACUGGGCGUUAAGUUGCAGGGUAUAGACCCGAAACCCGGUGAUCUAGCCAUGGGCAGGUUGAAGGUUGGGUAACACUAACUGGAGGACCGAACCGACUAAUGUUGAAAAAUUAGCGGAUGACUUGUGGCUGGGGGUGAAAGGCCAAUCAAACCGGGAGAUAGCUGGUUCUCCCCGAAAGCUAUUUAGGUAGCGCCUCGUGAAUUCAUCUUCGGGGGUAGAGCACUGUUUCGGCUAGGGGGUCAUCCCGACUUACCAACCCGAUGCAAACUACGAAUACCGAAGAAUGUUAUCACGGGAGACACACGGCGGGUGCUAACGUCCGUCGUGAAGAGGGAAACAACCCAGACCGCCAGCUAAGGUCCCAAAGUCAUGGUUAAGUGGGAAACGAUGUGGGAAGGCACAGACAGCCAGGAUGUUGGCUUAGAAGCAGCCAUCAUUUAAAGAAAGCGUAAUAGCUCACUGGUCGAGUCGGCCUGCGCGGAAGAUGUAACGGGGCUAAACCAUGCACCGAAGCUGCGGCAGCGACACUAUGUGUUGUUGGGUAGGGGAGCGUUCUGUAAGCCUGCGAAGGUGUGCUGUGAGGGUUGCUGGAGGUAUCAGAAGUGCGAAUGCUGACAUAAGUAACGAUAAAGCGGGUGAAAAGCCCGCUCGCCGGAAGACCAAGGGUUCCUGUCCAACGUUAAUCGGGGCAGGGUGAGUCGACCCCUAAGGCGAGGCCGAAAGGCGUAGUCGAUGGGAAACAGGUUAAUAUUCCUGUACUUGGUGUUACUGCGAAGGGGGGACGGAGAAGGCUAUGUUAGCCGGGCGACGGUUGUCCCGGUUUAAGCAUGUAGGCUGGUUAUCCAGGCAAAUCCGGAUAAUCAAGGCUGAGGUGUGAUGACGAGGCACUACGGUGCUGAAGUAACAAAUGCCCUGCUUCCAGGAAAAGCCUCUAAGCAUCAGGUAACAUCAAAUCGUACCCCAAACCGACACAGGUGGUCAGGUAGAGAAUACCAAGGCGCUUGAGAGAACUCGGGUGAAGGAACUAGGCAAAAUGGUGCCGUAACUUCGGGAGAAGGCACGCUGGUGUGUAGGUGAAGUCCCUGCGGAUGGAGCUGAGACCAGUCGAAGAUACCAGCUGGCUGCAACUGUUUAUUAAAAACACAGCACUGUGCAAACACGAAAGUGGACGUAUACGGUGUGACGCCUGCCCGGUGCCGGAAGGUUAAUUGAUGGGGUUAUCCGUAAGGAGAAGCUCUUGAUCGAAGCCCCGGUAAACGGCGGCCGUAACUAUAACGGUCCUAAGGUAGCGAAAUUCCUUGUCGGGUAAGUUCCGACCUGCACGAAUGGCGUAAUGAUGGCCAGGCUGUCUCCACCCGAGACUCAGUGAAAUUGAACUCGCUGUGAAGAUGCAGUGUACCCGCGGCAAGACGGAAAGACCCCGUGAACCUUUACUAUAGCUUGACACUGAACAUUGAGCCUUGAUGUGUAGGAUAGGUGGGAGGCUUUGAAGCGUGGACGCCAGUCUGCGUGGAGCCAACCUUGAAAUACCACCCUUUAAUGUUUGAUGUUCUAACGUUGGCCCCUUACCGGGGUUGCGGACAGUGUCUGGUGGGUAGUUUGACUGGGGCGGUCUCCUCCCAAAGCGUAACGGAGGAGCACGAAGGUUAGCUAAUCCUGGUCGGACAUCAGGAGGUUAGUGCAAUGGCAUAAGCUAGCUUGACUGCGAGCGUGACGGCGCGAGCAGGUGCGAAAGCAGGUCAUAGUGAUCCGGUGGUUCUGAAUGGAAGGGCCAUCGCUCAACGGAUAAAAGGUACUCCGGGGAUAACAGGCUGAUACCGCCCAAGAGUUCAUAUCGACGGCGGUGUUUGGCACCUCGAUGUCGGCUCAUCACAUCCUGGGGCUGAAGUAGGUCCCAAGGGUAUGGCUGUUCGCCAUUUAAAGUGGUACGCGAGCUGGGUUUAGAACGUCGUGAGACAGUUCGGUCCCUAUCUGCCGUGGGCGCUGGAGAAUUGAGGGGGGCUGCUCCUAGUACGAGAGGACCGGAGUGGACGCAUCACUGGUGUUCGGGUUGUCAUGCCAAUGGCACUGCCCGGUAGCUAAAUGCGGAAGAGAUAAGUGCUGAAAGCAUCUAAGCACGAAACUUGCCCCGAGAUGAGUUCUCCCUGAGACUUUAAGUCUCCUGAAGGAACGUUGAAGACGACGACGUUGAUAGGCCGGGUGUGUAAGCGCAGCGAUGCGUUGAGCUAACCGGUACUAAUGAACCGUGAGGCUUAACCUU